ACGGGAAGAGCCCAAACCAACAAGCUUGCUUGUUGGGGUUGUAGGACACUCUAUACGGAGUUACAAAGGACGACAUUAGACGAAUCAUCUGGAAAGAUGAAUCAAAGAAGGUAAUAAUCCUGUAGUCGAAAAUGUUGUCUCUCUUGAGUGGAUCCUGAGUACGACGGAGCACGUGAAAUUCCGUCGGAAUCUGGGAGGACCAUCUCCUAAGGCUAAAUACUCUCUAGUGACCGAUAGUGAACCAGUACCGUGAGGGAAAGGUGAAAAGCACCCCGGAAGGGGAGUGAAAUAGAACCUGAAACCGUGUGCUUACAAGUAGUCAGAGCCCGUUAAUGGGUGAUGGCGUGCCUUUUGUAGAAUGAACCGGCGAGUUACGAUUUGAUGCAAGGUUAAGCAGU
rnacentral:rRNA from 1 species